CGAUGUAUCAAAGCUCUUACAAACAAGAUAGGGUAUUCCUACAUAGAUGGUGGGACCCACGACAAAAUUGAUCAUAAAGCCUUAAAAAAAUAAUAGAUACGAUUGCAUUGCAUGUAGUUACGGAUGCGAUCAUACCGCAGUUAAGCGUGCUUGGGCGAGAGUAGUACUAGGAUGGGUGACAUCCAAGAAAGUCCUCGUGUGUCAUCCCUCUUU
rnacentral:rRNA from 1 species